rnacentral:rRNA from 1 species
AGAUUAAGUUAUUAAGGGCGCACGGUGGAUGCCUUGGCACUAGAAGCCGAUGAAGGACGUUACUAACGACGAUAUGCUUUGGGGAGCUGUAAGUAAGCUUUGAUCCAGAGAUUUCCGAAUGGGGAAACCCAGCAUGAGUUAUGUCAUGUUAUCGAUAUGUGAAUACAUAGCAUAUCAGAAGGCACACCCGGAGAACUGAAACAUCUUAGUACCCGGAGGAAGAGAAAGAAAAUUCGAUUCCCUUAGUAGCGGCGAGCGAAACGGGAAGAGCCCAAACCAACAAGCUUGCUUGUUGGGGUUGUAGGACACUCUAUACGGAGUUACAAAGGACGACAUUAGACGAAUCAUCUGGAAAGAUGAAUCAAAGAAGGUAAUAAUCCUGUAGUCGAAAAUGUUGUCUCUCUUGAGUGGAUCCUGAGUACGACGGAGCACGUGAAAUUCCGUCGGAAUCUGGGAGGACCAUCUCCUAAGGCUAAAUACUCUCUAGUGACCGAUAGUGAACCAGUACCGUGAGGGAAAGGUGAAAAGCACCCCGGAAGGGGAGUGAAAUAGAACCUGAAACCGUGUGCUUACAAGUAGUCAGAGCCCGUUAAUGGGUGAUGGCGUGCCUUUUGUAGAAUGAACCGGCGAGUUACGAUUUGAUGCAAGGUUAAGCAGUAAAUGUGGAGCCGUAGCGAAAGCGAGUCUGAAUAGGGCGUUUAGUAUUUGGUCGUAGACCCGAAACCAGGUGAUCUACCCUUGGUCAGGUUGAAGUUCAGGUAACACUGAAUGGAGGACCGAACCGACUUACGUUGAAAAGUGAGCGGAUGAACUGAGGGUAGCGGAGAAAUUCCAAUCGAACCUGGAGAUAGCUGGUUCUCUCCGAAAUAGCUUUAGGGCUAGCCUCAAGUGAUGAUUAUUGGAGGUAGAGCACUGUUUGGACGAGGGGCCCCUCUCGGGUUACCGAAUUCAGACAAACUCCGAAUGCCAAUUAAUUUAACUUGGGAGUCAGAACAUGGGUGAUAAGGUCCGUGUUCGAAAGGGAAACAGCCCAGACCACCAGCUAAGGUCCCAAAAUAUAUGUUAAGUGGAAAAGGAUGUGGCGUUGCCCAGACAACUAGGAUGUUGGCUUAGAAGCAGCCAUCAUUUAAAGAGUGCGUAAUAGCUCACUAGUCGAGUGACACUGCGCCGAAAAUGUACCGGGGCUAAACAUAUUACCGAAGCUGUGGAUUGUCCUUUGGACAAUGGUAGGAGAGCGUUCUAAGGGCGUUGAAGCAUGAUCGUAAGGACAUGUGGAGCGCUUAGAAGUGAGAAUGCCGGUGUGAGUAGCGAAAGACGGGUGAGAAUCCCGUCCACCGAUUGACUAAGGUUUCCAGAGGAAGGCUCGUCCGCUCUGGGUUAGUCGGGUCCUAAGCUGAGGCCGACAGGCGUAGGCGAUGGAUAACAGGUUGAUAUUCCUGUACCACCUAUAAUCGUUUUAAUCGAUGGGGGGACGCAGUAGGAUAGGCGAAGCGUGCGAUUGGAUUGCACGUCUAAGCAGUAAGGCUGAGUAUUAGGCAAAUCCGGUACUCGUUAAGGCUGAGCUGUGAUGGGGAGAAGACAUUGUGUCUUCGAGUCGUUGAUUUCACACUGCCGAGAAAAGCCUCUAGAUAGAAAAUAGGUGCCCGUACCGCAAACCGACACAGGUAGUCAAGAUGAGAAUUCUAAGGUGAGCGAGCGAACUCUCGUUAAGGAACUCGGCAAAAUGACCCCGUAACUUCGGGAGAAGGGGUGCUCUUUAGGGUUAACGCCCAGAAGAGCCGCAGUGAAUAGGCCCAAGCGACUGUUUAUCAAAAACACAGGUCUCUGCUAAACCGUAAGGUGAUGUAUAGGGGCUGACGCCUGCCCGGUGCUGGAAGGUUAAGAGGAGUGGUUAGCUUCUGCGAAGCUACGAAUCGAAGCCCCAGUAAACGGCGGCCG